rnacentral:rRNA from 1 species
GACAGAGGGUGCAAACGUUGCUCGGAAUCACUGGGCGUAAAGGGCGUGUAGGCGGGACAGUAAGUCGGGCGUGAAAUCCCCUGGGCUCAACCCAGGAACUGCACUCGAAACUACUAUUCUUGAGUGUCGGAGAGGAAAGCGGAAUUCCUGGUGUAGAGGUGAAAUUCGUAGAUAUCAGGAGGAACACCAGUGGCGAAGGCGGCUUUCUGGACGAUAACUGACGCUG